rnacentral:rRNA from 1 species
GUUAGGAAUAUUGGACAAUGGGCGCAAGCCUGAUCCAGCCAUGCCGCGUGAACGAUGAAGGCCUUCGGGUUGUAAAGUUCUUUAGCCGAUGAUUAUAAUGACUGUAGUCGGAAAAUAAGCCCCGGCUAACUUCGUGCCAGCAGCCGCGGUAAUACGAAGGGGGCGAGCGUAAUUCGGAAUCACUGGGCGUAAAGCGUGCGUAGGCGGUCUCGUAAGUUAGGAGUGAAAGCCCAGGGCUCAACCUUGGAAUUGCUCUUAAAACUGCAAGGCUAGAAUCUCGGAGAGGAUAGCGGAAUUUCCAGUGUAGCAGUGAAAUGCGUAGAUAUUGGAAGGAACACCAGUGGCGUAAGCGGCUAUCUGGACGAGUAUUGACGCUGAGGCACGAAAGCGUGGGGAUCAAACAGGAUUAGAUACCCCGGUAGUCC